rnacentral:rRNA from 1 species
CCUACGGGCGGCAGCAGUGGGGAAUAUUGGGCAAUGGAGGAAACUCUGACCCAGCAAUGCCGCGUGAAUGAAGAAGGUCUUCGGAUUGUAAAGUUCUUUAGUCAGGGAAGAAUAAAAUGACGGUACCUGAAUAAUAAGCUCCGGCUAACUACGUGCCAGCAGCCGCGGGAUUACGUAGGGAGCGAGCGUUGUUCGGAAUGACAGGGCGUAAAGGGUGCGUAGGCGGUGAUACAAGGUAGAAGUGAAAUACCCAGGGACUAACUCGGGUGCUGCUUCUAAGACUGUAAGACUUGAGAGCAGUAGAGGUUAGCGGAAUACGUAGAGUAGCGGUGGAAUGCGUAGAUAUUA